UACACUACUACUACUACUACUACUACUACUACUACUACUACUACUACUACUGCCAAGAUCCCUUCCAACUUAAUAAUAAUAAUAUAAUAAUAAUAAUAAUUUGAGGCUUGUAUGUGGGCAAACAACAUAUUUACCUAUAUCUUUUUUUUUCCUAGCCUGGCUUGGAGGGGAUGAAGGCUCACUAAACAUGCCUAGGGGAUAUUUUGCCAGGACUAGGCCAAGACACAACCUCUGGGCUUUGCAGCUGGUCUUCUGUGCCCACUGGACUCUGACUGCAAGCGAGGGAAGGAUUUGUGCUUCCAGAGAUGGUGGCCUUGUACACCAACACAAAAGGUUGUGGGGAGGUGGACGACUCUUUCUGCUUCUGGGGCAGGGGCCCCUUGAAAAGAGGGGACAGUGAUGAACAACAGGCCUCAGUGCAGGCCUGUUGCAGGCCUCAGUGAAGUGGGCUCCCCAUUCAUUCUGUGGAUGAGGCUGCUUUGUUUUCAUCCCAUUCGUGCAGGGAGCUGUUUCCUUGAGAGAAAGGAACUGUGGGUGCUGCCCAGCAUCCAAUUCCUGCAGGAUUUGCAAGAGAAGGGGGAGCGACAGGCUUGCUCUCACUUCUGCAGGCAGCCAUAAGCCAUGACUUGUGGGCAAUACCGUCCUCAGGCAGAGCAUUGCAGACAAUCAUCUCACGUGUUGUAACAUAUUUGGGGAAAAAAAAAAAUCAUUUCUGGGGUGCCAGGUCUUGCAUGUUUACCCCCAAAUCAUAGAGGUGAGAAAACUGAGAUUCCAAGUCUGAAGAAGGCUGCCUGUCGAACCCUGGCUGUUUGCAUUUUUGUCUUUAGAAUACCCUUCCUCAAAAUGAUCCUUGCUAGAAAAUGGAUUCCAUAUUUUAGAGAAGGUUCCAUACACCUUCAAACGGAGACACCUGGAACACGGGAUUCUCGCUUAAAUCCCUUGCAAACGAAACUCUCCUAUUCGAUAGUUCUUUUCGUGUACAAAAUUGAAUUAAUUGAAAAUAAAUAUACGAUUAAUCCCCAACGUAGAAAUUGUCCUGUUUUAAAUAUGCAUGGAAUUUUGGAACACCUCAUAAAUUUGCCUUCGGCUGGUGGGCACGUAGUAUAUAACAUAAGAUCUGACAAUUUCCAUUGUGACAAUAUAAACACUGUACUUGGCUUUAAUUAAAGAUGCCGAUAGGACUUCAUGGUCGUUUGUAUUUGCAAAACAGGCUGUCACAACUUCCUUACGCGCUGUUUCUGAAAUGCACAUAAUUCAAAGCCAUGGUGUCUUCCCUAUUUUUUUCUCUUUAAGUAUUAUUGCCUUCUUGUCGUUUAGUUGCUUCUAAUGCUUCAUGAUCCAACAAACAUCCUUUCGCCGAUUGAAAGGUUCUCCUUGGGCCAUUAUCUGUGAUGGCACCUGGCCAAAGGGUCUUCUGUCCACCUUUUUUCAUUGUCUUCAAUUGCAUCAGAGAAUCAGGGACUCCCACCUUUGCAUUAUGUGACUAAAAUAUCUCCGUUUUAGCCACAUUCUUAGUGCUUCUACUGAGCAGCCCAAUGUGACUUCAUCUGGUGUUGAGUGAUUGAUUGGUUCUUCAGGCUGUCCAAGCUUCUGUCAACAAUUUUCUCCAGGACCAAAAUUCAAAAGUAUUCAUCUUUUUUUUUUGCUUAGCCUUUCUGAUGGUCCAACUUUCAUAGCUGUAUGUCACAACUGAGCAGGCCAUGGGCUUGACAAUACAUACCCUGGUUGUCCAUGUGAUGUCUCAACAGUUUAACAUUCUGGGUAGAUUUCUGCUAGUCUCUCUUCCAAGUAGCAAAUGUCUCUUGGUUGCAUGGCUCUAGCUGCCAUUCCUCUGCAAACUUUAUCUUAGGAGGGCAAAUAAAAGUCUGCUACUAUUCAACUUCUUCUCUCCCUGUUUGCUUUGGGUUGGCAUUUUCUGCUAACGUAAUCUUUUGAAUUUUGAUUUUUUUAAAAAACGUUGAACAGCGGUUGAAUGGGAUUUCGCAUUCUCUCCUUUCACUUUCAAUAAAAGAUCCCCAAAUCUUUCUCACUUUCAGCCUUCCUAGUUUUCAUCAGCAGCUUUCAUCUGAACUUCUGCUUUUUCUAACUCAACGCUUCUUGUGGUUUGUUCUGCAUUUAAGUUAAAGUAUUGGUAUGAAAUCUUGUGCGUUCCUUUCCCAACCUUGAACCGUUCAGUUGCCCCAUCAACCUUUCCCGCUCUUCUUCUUGCUGAUAAUAGUUUUUAAAGGAGACCCAAGUUUGCUGUGGGGUGGACAGUCAAAGUCCUUGGUGGAAGCAACAACGUAAAAGUCAACGUCUUUUUGAAGCGCCCUUGUCUUUUCCUUAAUGCCAGCCUUGCGAUUUCAACUACUGAUGCCUCUUCUGUAGUCAGCUGCCAUUUCCGUCAGUUUUAUUUCCAGCUGCUGAGGAAGUCUGAACGGCAAUUGUGCUGGACCGGUUAUGUAAUCAUCUGGCCAGUGCAUAUAUUAGCUAUGAGAACUGUAUGUUAGAAUGUUUAGCAUUUAAAGGGUUAAGCGCUGUCUCCUUAAGAGAUGGCUUAUGGGUAAUGUAGUUUUAGUUGUUCAGUGAAUCCUAUGUUAACAAGUCAGUGGGAGGGGCUACUAAGUUCAUCACAGGAUAUCCUGGCUAUGUGCCAGUUUGGAAGAAAUGCCUUUUGUCUGAAAUGAGCAUGGGGAUGCAUGAGGAGAGACACCGUCUUAAUUCACGCUAGAGCUGAUGUGGAGGAAUGAUUGUUUCGACCUACAUAAAAUGGGCAAAUGUACAGCAUCUGGAAGCAUCUUCAGAAUUUGAAUAAAAGUUAUGUGCCAUUGCAGCAUUGGAAUAGAUGCUUAUUAAAAUCAGAACAACCCUAAAACCGAGUUUCGGGAACAGAAAAAUCUAUUCAAAUUUCCUCCUAAGAGUUAAGUGGAUGGAGCGCUGCUGAAGGCUCUAUAAGGAAUGGAGUUCCUUAAAAGUAUAACAAUUGAGAAGGUGACAAACUGAAAGGAUGACAAAAGAGACCAAGAACGGGAACGUUCCUCUGAUUCUACUGGCUUCAUUUGGGAUUCCUGCCAAUAUUUAAUCUCCGUUGCACUUUUACUGGUUGAGGGGGAAAAACUAUGAUUCCUGUACCCAAAUGCCCACAGGCUCAAUGCAACUUCAAAUGUUGUCACAAUUUGUGCUAAACAGAGCCAGAAAUCCAAGCUAAGAUUUCAGUUCAAGCACGCAAAAUGCCUGCUAUGUUUAGAAUCCUUCCUGAUCGCUUUCCAUUUUCCACUUUCCUUGUUUGGGAAUCCAUUCCAGUCUCUGUGACCCAGAAGCCUUUGGGGACAGGAUGGUGGGAAUCUUUUUGAUUUGAUCAUUCAAAGGGACAUCAAUUUUUAAGCUGGCCAUGAGUCGUAACUCAGGCACCACCCCCAGUGAAAAUCAAGCUUCUUGCCGCGUGCUUUGGAACAGGGGUGUUUGUUAAUCACGGUAUUUUCGUUUCAUAUUUCAAGCACGGCAAUAACCGUAUUAAACUUGCCAUUUUUCUUCAAAACACGACCCACUAAAUUUAAUGGAGAUGACUCCUGAAUAAAUAAAAACAGAUUUAGCCAGACAAGUUGACUAAAACAAAAGGAACAAAUGUCAAUUAAAGGGCGAGCUAAAAAAACUGCUUGUGUGUGUUCAUUAUUUCCUGUAAUAACAAAAGCAUCGCAACAUCCAUUAGCCACAUAGUUAUUAAAACGAAACAAUGCUUUUUUUUUUUUUUACUAGUUCCAGGGUGAUUUGGCUCUCUUGCUUAAAUACAUUUCAAGUUUUAUCUGUUAUUUCAUUUAACGUAAGGGCAGCCAAACUGUUAUGUUUUCUGAACAAAGGCAAAACUAGGGUUUUUUUUUAAUAUAUAUAUAUAUCCAGGUACGCCUGGUGAGCGUGUUUUGAAUCCAGCUGCCUCAAGAACGCUCAGAUUAAUCCGAGGCAAUGAAAACAUUUCCAGGGAUGAAACUUUUAUGUCAACUGGAUCUUGUUACAAAUGCCAUCUCUCUCCCUCGCAUUAGGCAGUUCUUUCUUCUCUUUUUAAGAUCUUAAUCACACUUUGUGACUCCAGUAUUAUACAUGCUAUAAAAGCCACAAUGUCAGUUUUCUCCACAAGCUAAAAAUAAAGUCUCUGUGUCAGAUACUGUUAGUUGAUAAAAAGGAUCAGUGCACUGUGUUCCCACUCCAGUAAUUUUGAACUUUAGAUAACUUCCUGUUUACAUGGCCUGACCUUUUUUUUUUUUUUUUUGCAAAAAGGCUGUUACCAUU